rnacentral:rRNA from 1 species
CACGUAUUUAGCCGGAGCUUUCUUCUAUGGUACUGUCAUUAUCUUCCCAUAGGACAGAACUUUACGAUACGAAUACCUUCUUCGUUCGCGCGGCGUCGCUGCAUCAGGGUUUCCCCCAUUGUGCAAUAUUCCCCACUGCUGCCUCCCGUAGGAGUUUGGACCGUGUCUCAGUUCCAAUGUGGCCGUUCAUCCUCUCAGACCGGCUACUGAUCGUCGCCUUGGUGGCUGUUAUCUCACCAACUAGCUAAUCAGACGCGAGCCCAUCUAUGACCGAUAAAUCUUGACCGUUAAAACAUGUGUUUCUACGUAUUUUAUGCGGUUAUUAACGUCCCGGUUUCCCGAGGCUAUCCCACUGUCAUAGGCUAGGUUGCUCACGCGUUACUCCACCCGUUCGCCACUCUCAUUAGUAUCUUCCACGUAAGCUUCUGUUACUAAUCCCGUUGACUUGCAUCGUAGUUAAGC